rnacentral:rRNA from 1 species
AUGAACGCUGGCGGCGUGGUUAAGGCAUGCAAGUCGAACGAUUUCCGUUAGCAAUAAUGGAAGUAGUGGCAAACGGGUGAGUAACACAUUGGUAACCUACCCCAAAGAUGGGAAUAACCCGAGGAAACUUGGGCUAAUACUCAAUAUGCUCGGACGAUUAAUUCGUUUGAGUAAAGCUCCGACGCUUUGGGAUGGACCUAUGUUUCAUCAGCUAGUUGGUAGGGUAAUGGCCUACCAAGGCUACGACGAAUAGCGGGUGUGAGAGCAUGACCCGCCUCACUGGGACUGAGACACUGCCCAGACUCCUACGGGAGGCUGCAGUCGCGAAUCUUCCCCAAUGCACGAAAGUGUGAGGGAGCGACGCCGCGUGAUUGAUGAAGCCCUUCGGGGUGUAAACUCCUUUUAUAUGUCAAGAAAAUGACGGUAGCAUAUGAAUAAGCACCGGCUAACUCCGU